rnacentral:rRNA from 1 species
UACGUGUGAGGCAAGCGUUAUUCGUCUUUAAUGGGUCUAAAGGGCGCGUAGGCGGGCUAUCAAGUCCGGGGUGAAAUCCUCCAGCUUAACUGGAGAACGGCCUCGGAUACUGAUGGUCUCGAGGGAGAUAGGGGCACGCGGAACUGUGGGUGGAGCGGUGAAAUGCGUUGAUAUCCAUAGGAACUCCGGUGGCGAAGGCGGCGUGCUGGAUCUCUUCUGACGCUGAGGCGCGAAAGCCAGGGGAGCAAACGGG